rnacentral:rRNA from 1 species
UACGUAGGCAGCGAGCGUUGUUCGGAAUUACUGGGCGUAAAGAGUGUGUAGGCGGUGCUCUAAGUUUGGUGUGAAAUCUCCCGGCUCAACUGGGAGGGUGCAUCGAAUACUGGAAUGCUAGAGGGUGGGAGAGGUAAGCGGAAUUCCUGGUGUAGCGGUGAAAUGCGUAGAUAUCAGGAGGAACACCUGUGGUGUAGACAGCUUACUGGACCUCUUCUGACGCUGAGACACGAAAGCGUGGGUAGCAAACAGG